AUUGAACGCUGGCGGCAGGCCUAACACAUGCAAGUCGAACGAGUGGCGGACGGGUGAGUAAUGGCUGGGAAACUGCCUGAUGGAGGGGGAUAACUACUAGAAACGGUAGCUCAUACCGCAUACCAUCGGAUGUGCCCAGAUGGGAUUAGCUAGUAGGUGUGGUAAAGGCUCACCUAGGCGACGAUCCCUAGCUGGUCUGAGAGGAUGACCAGCCACACUGUAACUGAGACACGGUCCAGACUCCUACGGGAGGCAGCAGUGGGGAAUAUUGCACAAUGGGCGCAAGCCUGAUGCAGCCAUGCCGCGUGUAUGAAGAAGGCCUUCGGGUUGUAAAGUACUUUCAGCGGGGAGGCGUUACCCGCAGAAGAAGCAACGGCUAACUCCGUGCCAGCAGCCGCGGUAAUUC
rnacentral:rRNA from 1 species